CGCGUUGUCAUUGGGGAGUAGCCAGCCUCGUUCCCCCUGAGGCGUUCGCAUCAACAGACUUGGUCGCCGUGUUCUCCGGCGCCAUGGUGCGAACAGCCACCGACGUCGUCAGGCGCCGGUGUUGCCCGGCGAGA
rnacentral:sRNA from 2 species